rnacentral:lncRNA from 1 species
UAGAAUAAAAAGUGUAUCAUUUUUUAAAUCUAGAACACUUUCUAUACCUUAGGCCCAUGAGUGUAAAUGAAAUCUUUUGAAGAGUUUUUGACAAAGGGAUUUAUUCUGCUGAGGAAGCCAAAAGAAAUUACAGGCCACAAGUUUCUUUAAAGCUGUAUUAACAUAUCUUGCCUUAAAAUGUUGAGUGUUUUGCUUGGGUGACAUUUGAGAAUUCCAGCAUGGAGGAGGAUAGAGAAUUCUGCCUGGGUUUGGUUCUAAAGCCAUUUUUUUUCACUGUUGAUCUCACUUAAGUAUCAAACUCAAUCUGAGGGCAAUGUAUAUAUGCUAAAUAUAGAAAUUAGGAGAAGUUACUCAAAUUUAUGCUUUUGCAAAGAUUCGUUCUUGGAUUUGUGUAAAUUUAGUUGAUCCAGUAAAUCUAAAGUGUUGAAAAUUCUGAAGACAUAUACCAAGUACUAUGUAAAGAAUUUUUUUAAAGGCGUUUAGUGACUGUUUCUUAUGGUUUGGUUUUGUUUCUUGGGGAGCCUGUGGACAAAAUGCUGCCAAGUAUCUAACUAACUUAAAUGUAUACACUCCUGCCAGGGGAAUUUUUGAAAAUGGGAAGUUGGAAAUGAAAUAGGUUGCUGUGUGCAUUAAUCAUCUUCACACUGGAUUUAGUCACCUACAUGACUAAAUUCUUUGUAGGUCUGGAAUGGCAGGGCAGAAGACUUUAAUGCGCUAUUACUGAGUACUGUAAAAUAAAUGCUUUUUGGAUUCUCAAUUAAAGCAAUUUUGUGUGCGUGCCUGGAGCAGGAAAAUAGUUCGGAGCUUUGUAGCCUUCUCCAAUAUUUUCUUGACAAAAUUGAGAGAUGUUAAGAACAUUGUUUUUAAGAAUAUAUGUUUAUUUGGCCUUCUAGUAUUAUGGUGUGAAGAGAUAAGAGCCUUUGUUUCACUGAAAAAGCUGGGCUGACUUAAGGGUGUUAAAGGAAGGAUGGAGGGAGGGAGGAGUUUGUUGGAAAGCAGUCACCUGUCAAAACAGAGAGUGGGUGGGAAAGGAACAUUUAUCUUGGGGAGCAAAAGUUAACUUUUAAACUUGACCCCUGCUGGUUUUUAAAAGCUUUUCCUUUUGGUCCCUGACAGUCAUCCAAGCUUUAUGUCAUUUCAAAGGAUUAUUUCUGUCCUGCUUUCCUAAUAGCCUCAAAAAAAGUUGAAAGUAUCAUUGGAAGUCUAACAUUUUUAUAUCUGUGAGUUAUGGUUCUUAGUACAACAGUGUCCAUGUUGUUACAUUGUUCACUGCUGAAAUAGACCCCACUGAGUCAUAUUUUAGGGCCAGAUCUAUUGGGGAUGAGAAUUCUUUCAGUGUGUGAGGCCUCAUGCUUCCUGAUUUAGUAACCUUUCCUAUAGGUGGCGAUCCUAAAAAGCCCCAUCAAUUUAAACUGUUCCGGUAGUUUUACGUAUUCUCACCCCCUUUUGAGUUAUAUUUCAAUAUUUCUCACAGAUGGGAUGGGAAAGUGAAAGAAAACUAUAGGUAGCAAUUAGACUUGACAGGUAUAUACAAAAUGCUUGUACUUUGUCAGAAAGUAUUGAUUUACUUUUCACAGCAGCUAGACUAAGCCCCCGACUUAUAAAUAUGAGGGUUUCAUUUGGAGAUCACCACUGUGAGUUAAAAUGAAAUCAAACAUUAGUCACGGUGUCUACCUAAUUGGAGCUACUAGUACAAAUUUUGUCCUGGUGAAAUGUAGCAAAGUUUGAAGUACUAUAUAUAGAGAAUGUGGUAAUUUUGAUGAUGAUAGUUUACUUAGAUUCCCAGGACUAAUCAAAAGCAUUUAAUGGAACCUGGUGCUGGUUCUAGAGGAUACAUUUGAUCUAAUGCCAGUAGGAUUUUGAUAGUUGAAAAAGGUUUUGGGGAAUCAUCUAGUCCAGAGGAUCUCAAACUUAACCACAUAUCCAAGUCACCUUGAGGUUAAAAACAAGGCCUGCUAAGCUCUUCCUUUAGUUUCUUAUUCAGUAUGUCUGAGUAUGUUUUCAUUAUCUUCAUUUCUAACAAGAUUCCAGGUGAUGCCAAUAAAGCUGUUCCAGGGACAUUUUAAGAACCAAUGAUCUAGCCCAAACUCCACGAGUACUUUAGAUAUUCAGGGACACAGACUCAAGACACACGUCUAGAGUGCUGCCUACCACCAAGUCAUAAAAUAAUCUUGACUGAACUCUAUAGCUAAGGAGGACAUACACCAGUUACACUAAGACUAUUAAACUGUGAAGUGUGAAUGAAGUAGCCACACUGAUAGAUGAGUGACCAUUUUCACAUUUGAAUAGUUUGGGUAUGGCUUUCAUUGUUAAUUCAGAAAGUAAGGAAAGUGAAUAAAUGAUUAAAAUAGGGGUAUGGCCUAAAUAAUCAGAAUGAAUGUUUUCUCUCCCCCCACCGCAAAAUUGAAAGUAUCUUUGCUAAAGUGAACACUUUCACAUAUUUGUCUUCUCUUCAAGAUUAAAAGGCAAGAAUUUCAUCUUUAUAUGCUUUCUGGCAAGGAUUUUUUUAAAAACUGUAUUUGAGAAUGUAAAUCUUCAGGUCAUGGUAAGUGUGUGUGUGUGUGUGUGUGUGUGUGUGUGUGUGUGUAAAUAAAUACAUACGUUCAGUUUUCUUAGCCAGACUUUCAAGGAAUCAGUCGAUUCAGUGUCAUGUAGAUCUAUAGUUAUCAAUUCUGGGACAACGCACAGUAUAAAACAGUGCCAUGCAUCUUGUUACAGUAUACAUCUUGAUCUUUUGGAACUGUGAAGGUUGAUCUAUUUUGUAAAUUGGAGGGGGGGCAUCUAUUUAUAUUUUUCCUCUGCUAUUAAACAGAAAUCUCUGAGGAGAUACUUUUUUUUUUAAGAAAGUAGAAAUUACAUGCUUUUUUGUCUGAUUGACUAAAAUUGCUAUUUUUUAAAUGAAUUAUCUGGCAAAAUUAUGUUUGCCUAAGUUUAUCAGAGGCUUGAAAAUGUCAUACGUUUAUUUGUGGUAAUUGUGCAUAUAUCACAAAACACCCUUUAAAAGUAGAAAAGAGAAUAUUGAUGCAUUGAGAAUACAGAUGCCCCAAAGAACUGAGAUUGUUCCUUACUGUUAAGAAUAUGGUUACAGUGGAAAUUGGUAAAUUGAUUCAUUCAUUAUUCAACAAGUAUUUAUUGAGUAUAUACUGUUAGCUGUGAUGUAAGGACUAAUCCUUAAAUGGGUGGAAGCCAGACAAGAGAGCAACAACUUUGUGCUUUCAUCACCAUAGGCUGCGAUAAUAGUGUGUAUUAAAAAACAGUAGGAAUAUAUGGAAAAGCACAGUUACCUGUACCAUCAAUUAUAAUAGAAUCCUGUGGGUCUGUCUGGCAGACAAUAGAGCAGGUAAAUUUGUUGAAAAAUGGGACUUUACUUUGAAAGGUAUAUGGAUAUUGGUUGAGGUAACUAAUAGUUGUUUUGUUGCAUGUAGAACUUUAAUUUUGUGCAUCAUUUUCAACUAGCUUUUUGAAAUUACCUAAAGUCGAAUGAGUAGAAAUAAGUUUACUUUUAUAUCUUCAUAUCAAAGGGAAGAAAGGAAAAUGAAGAAAGAUUUAUGAAAUUUGUUCACUGUAUUUUUUAAGUGCAGAAACAAAGAAGGGAAGGGCAGUUCAGGUUAUAUUCCUAAAGAAGCAAUUGUUGGCAUAAAGUCUUUGGGGGCUCCUCAUGUAAAGAAGAUUCAGGGUAUUUAUUUUGAAAAAAAUAAUCUCCUAAAAAUGAGUAUGCCAAAGAAUUAAGCUGACAUUUUAAGUUUGCUAAGCUUAUAGGUAUUUUAUACAGAAACUCUUGUUCUCACAUCUUUAGUACUUAUUGGAAGAAAGCAACUCAGAGAAAGAAAUGUUGGGCAACAAACUAUGAGAGGUGACAAUAAUGGCAAUUAUUGUAAAACCAUAUGAACUGGAGGUAGUUGUGAUUAUUAACUUCUAUAGUUUGCAAAAUGAUUUCUUGUGAUUGUUUUUUGUAGACUAUUUCAUGAAUUUAACAACAUGCUUUUUAAAGGUAAAAAGUUACAGAAUUUACAGAGCUAGCAGAAUAGUUUAUCUGAAAGUACUUCAUUGUUUUUUUUUAAAUCUGAUUAUAACUUUAUGAGAUGCAAAUCUAUUAUUUAUAAUUCUGUAGCUGAAGUAAAGUUCUUCAUAUUUUACCUCAGACUAUAAAAAGUUUUCAAGGAGUUCCCCAGUGGCACAGCAUGUUAAGGAUCUGAAGUUGUCACUGCUGUGUGUUGAGUUCGAUCCCUGGCCCAAGAACUUCUACAUGCUGUGGGUGCGUCCCCCCCAAAAAAAAAUAUUCUUUUUUUAUUUCCUUUUUAGGGCUGCACUCUUGGCAUAUGUAAGUUCCCAGGCAGAGCCACAGCCACCAGCCUGUGACAUAGCCACAGCAAUGCCAGAUCCCAGCUGCAUCAGCAACCUGCACUGCACCUUGCAGCAUUGCUGGAUCUUUAACCCACUGAGGCCAGGGAUCGAACUCCCAUCUUCAUGGGUACUAGUUGGGUUCUAACCCACUGAGCCACAAUGGGAACUCCUCAAAAUAUUCUUUUUAAAAGCUAACAUUUUAUUAAAUUAUAUUUCUUUCAAGAAAAGAACCUCUACAGAUUUGUACUAGUACCAGCAUAAUUCUAUAAGAACAUAUAUAUAGAUAUAUGUGUAUAUGUGUGUGUGUGUGUGUGUGUGUGUGUGUGUAUGUGUUUGUGUUUUGGCUGCACCCAUGGGGAGGUUCCCAGGCCAGGGAUUGAACUCAUGCCACAGCAGUAACCACAGCCACAGCAGUGACAAUGCUGUAUCUUUAACCUGCUGAGCCACUAGGGAACUCCAAUAAGAUAUAUUUUAAAUAGUUUUGCAUUCUACAUUAUAAGUAGGUAAGAGAAUUGCAAGUGUAUCUCUAAGUUUGAGUUCAACAUCAUUCAACAUCUAGUAGAAAAAAGGCUUGAGGUGGGAUUCCUUUACUCUGAGUUUGGUUAUCUUAGCUUUAUCAUGUUACUUGUUAUUUUUCUUUUUGUGUAUCAUUUCAUUCAUGCAACUUGGAUUUGUGCAAAUGGUUUUCUCUGUCACAAAUGUAAUCCAUAUUAAUUGAUGAAAAAAAAAUCUAUGAACUCCUUAACUAAUAGCUAUAUAAUGUGUUUUUCCAUGUGAUAGUGUAAAGGAAAAAGUAUUUUUCACACUAUGUUUGAGGUCCAGACUGAAACAGAUCCAACUAGUUGGAGAAGACUGCCCAUUAAAGAGAUAAUACCUUUUGAUAUGGGAAUAGUCUCUCUUUCAUUUUUAAAACUGAUAAAGGAAGUUUUAAAAAAAUGAAUUUGAUCAUAGGAAUAUUCAUUUUCACAUAUUUGCGGCAGCCUAAAAAUAUUUCCAGACCAUUUCUUCUUCCUUACUGAUCUUUUGCUGAGGCCAAAGAACAAGAAAAAAACCUAAAUGUACUCUCUUUGAGAGAAUCUUCUACCUUGACAGGCAGGGCCAGCCAUAAAUACAUCCAAACUAAUCUGAAGGGCAAAAUUGUUUUCCUACAUUUUUGUACAAAUCAGCUUUUAUUUGGUCACCGAGGAAGCAUGAAUAGUGAUAAAGGCCAGGGAAUGUGUUCCUUAACCAUUAUGGCAGCCAGAGGGCUAGAUCUCUGGUUGCUAAGGUGGGAGAGAGUGACAGAGCUGAGAAGGCCAGCCCUGCAGGCUGAGGUAGAUUCAUUCCUCAGCCCACACCCUUAUGCCUGCAUUCCUACAAUCCUAGGGGAUCUGGUGUCCAAGUUUGUGACUCAUUUCCAUGCAGGAUUUACUAAGGCUUAGGGCCGCCUCUGGCCAGAGGUGAAGAAGCCUAAGGAUGGGGUGAUACUGUACUGUAUUACAGAUACUGUAAUAAAUUCCACUCUAACUCAGGAUUGCUCAACCUCAGUACUUUUAAUAUUUGCAGCCAGAUAAUUCUUUUUUUUUUUUGCGGAGUGCUGUCCUGUAUGUUUUAGGGCAUUUAGCACCAUCCCUGGCUUCUACCCACUAGAUUCUAGUUGCACCUCUUCCCACCCCAGCUAUGACAACAAAAAAUGUCUGCUGACAUUGCCAACUAACCCAGGAAGUGGGUGGCGGGAGUGGAAGGGUUAUGCUUAAUAGUCCCUGGUAGAGAAUCACUGCUCAACUUGACCCGUAGAGCUGAGAAGGCAUAAACCAGGGAAGAGAGGGGUUGAACCUAGGAGCAGUUAAGACUUUCCUUACUCCAGAGCAUUGCCAUCAUUGCUUCUCCUUUAUAAUAUUGGUGUUCUCUAUAGUGCUUGGAACAGUAUCAUUUUGAUCAGCCCAUUAAAUCCACACCUGAGAGAAAAACACAAUAUACCGGGACUAAGAUUUCUUGGCAAUGUUGGUUACCUGGAAGGAAAGGGAGUAUGAUUCAAAAGGCAGGUGUGCUCUGCUUAGGGUGAUGAACUCAGAUGGGCAGAGAGGACCUCACGACUUGCUGAUAGCUAAGUAGAAGGUCCUAGAAGUAGGAAGGAAUCCUGAAAGGGAGGUCAAGGGCAAUAGUGUUGCAGCUUUGUGUGGAGCCCCUUAAGCCUCCUCUGGAAGACAUCUGGAAGGUUUUCAGCAUCACCCAGCUUCCUCCACUCAUCUCAGUGUCCUUCCAGUUAAUCUAGGCGCCUCCCUAUUCCACACCUGGACUCCUAACUCUAGGGUAGAAAGGGUUCGUUUUAUGUAUCCCAUCCCUCCUUACUUUCCCUUUUGUAAUUCCUCCCACUCAUCUCCCUUCCUUUGUUUUUCUUGGCUAACUUCAGAACUAAUGACUGUGUCCAGGGCAGACCUCUGCUGCCUGACCGCACACAUCUACCUGUGCCCAAAGCCCCAUGCCAGGCUGCCAUGAAGUGGGCAGCAGGGGCUGCCCUGUGAUGAAGGGCCUCUGGAGUCUGACAGGAUCUAGCCAACUGCCCACAGGCGGUGGCUGACAACCCCUGAAAUACAGCAUUAAGGACUAUCCUGUCAGCAAAUUUAUGAACAGGGAAUUAAUUCAGUGACCAUGGACCUUCCAUUUACCUGGAACCAGUCAUGAUUGUUUUGGGUCUUAAGUUUUAAGUGAGAGCAUAUGUCUUAAAACCUAUGUAAUAUUCCUCUAGAAACUUAUAACAACCAGAGACUUUACCUGGUGGGACAAUUGUGAUUCUACAUGUCAUGGGGCACAUUUGGAAAUCUCACAUUCUUUGUUACUGAACGAGAACAAUCUCCAAGCCCAUCAUAGCUAGAAAAGUCUCUCUAAGAAAGGUAGGCAAUAAACAAAACAAUUCUUCACAAUACAAAGCACAGUUUGGUGAGUGAUUCAGAAAAGUCAAAACUUCUUCUUAAAUUUGAGAACCAUCUUGUAUUAGGAUGGAUGAUCUUGAUAGAGAUAUUUUAUUCUCUGUAGUAUCUUUGUAUUAAAUAAAAAAUGGAAACAUCCUAUUUAAUUGGUAAUGUGACCACAAUUAAGAUAGAGAAAACAGAUCUGGUAUAUCUAAAUUUCCUGUUUUUCUUAUAUUCUGCUUCCCUCUUUUAUAAUCAUCUGUGCUGUUCUGCAAUAUUUUUUUCCUUAUCUCUAAGUUUUAUUGGUUUUGGGGAGUGUUAUGUUUUCUUUCUAAUUAAAAAGUCUAUAAUGAGGAAAAUAUUGUUAUGAAUCACUGUCACUAGUAGGCAAGAAGAUAUAUGUAUUCAUAAAUUUAAACAAAUAAAUUGUGUAGGACGUUUUGCAGUGUCACUAUUUGCAUUUACCUUUUAUAGCCUAGAAAUGAUUUGUAUGCAGCAUUUCCAUGUAAAGGAAAUACACUUUUCUUUGAUUAAUUACCAUUUGUUUAUUAUUUGGGGAAAAAAGGUAGAAAUGCUUUUUAAAAUUAUUAUCAUGAACUCUUUCUAGUUUGUUUUAUAGCAAAAUUACUAAUAAUUUUCCUUUUUAAGUCUUUCCUCUUAAGAAUAGCACUUCAUGAAUAGAAAAAAAGCAUGUAUGUGAAUUAUCCAAAAGUCAUACAGUAGUUGUUUGGAUUUAUCAUGGUGGUGGUGAUUUGGCAAAUUAUUUACCCACUUAAUGACAAGUAAUAUAAUUGAUUUGUACUAGCCUACAGAGAAACAUCAAAAACACAUGUGCAAUGGGACUAGAGUGACUUUUUGGUGUCAAUGAUUUUGGAGAAUGUGUAAAGUAGAUAAUAUACCAUAAAUAAAUUUAUAAAAAGUUGAUCUAGA